GUCUCGGAGAUGUCCUGACCGAAUGUGUAGCCAGCUCCUCGAGGGGAGAUGCCCCAGCCUCCGCGGUCGUCGGGGUCCGACCACAGCAGGUCGCACAUGGGACCCUGAAGGGGACGACAAGGCAGGAACAAACCACUUCCUGCCACCCAUGAAGCACCAUUCCCACAACAGCCCUCCGUGCGCUCCACGUUAAGACGGCAAGCUGUGAUUACAACACAACCCCCGACACCAUCACCAUAAUAAUAUCUCCACGGAUACAACAGCACGUAUGUGUGCGGGCCUCUGUGUGCGUCUCCCUAGCAGCGCUUUGAAGGGCAUCUCCGUGCACCGUUUCCUAAAAUCAAUUACUGCGAUGAGCCAGAAGAAUUGUGUGCGCAAGAAGCGUCUUGCUCCACUACGUCACCCGUUGCCAUUGGUUUCGCUAAAUGUGGCUUCGUUCAACGUAAGCAAGACAAAGUCACAGACAGAAGAUUUAAACACACAAAAUAUGCAGAAAGUCAGCCGAAGUGUAAGCUUAGCAGACUUCUGUUUACAUUUGAGGGUUUAAAAAAAGGUUUGUGGGCGGUCGUGUUGGGUGCUCUCAAUUAUUAUGCAACCCUUUACCGGGAGUUAGCUAAAAAUAGUGUGGAGCUUUAAACAGAACACGUUCUAAAUCUGGAGACCCCUCAACAAGACCUAUUCCUGAAGUCGGUGUAGCUUGGCAGGCUGGUCAGACUGAGGGCUCGGUCAGAUGACUGAGACGUUCUAAGGAGAUUUGAGACAACAAAUCCUCAGGCUGAAGAUGCCAGAGAGCAACAUCUGCAAAAAGGCAAAUGAUACACUACCAGUUAAAAGCUCCAGUAUCCUCUGGUAUAGUUGAUUCAUCCUACAGCAAGAUAAUGACCUAAAACUUUAGUCCAAGCUAUACCAGAACUACCUCAGAUAAAAAUAAGAUGGAAAGCUUGAAACAUGGAGUGGACCGUGUCCCAGUCUCUAGAUUUAACCCCAUGGAGCCAUGGAAACUUCUGCAACAAAACUGGGAAGAACAUUCUGAAAAAGCUGGCCUUUCAUCAACAGAUGGGCCAGAGAGAAAGACAAGAGACGACCCCAGAGGAACCAGGACAGGGCAGGACUGCAACGCUGCACAACGCUGACCUACAUUAAACACCGGCCACGUGUCCACACCACCAUGUGUCUGGACGCCUUUCACUCGGUGGACGACAGAUUGACCAGGGCAAUUUAGCGGCUAAGCCGUGGAGAAUAUGCUAGGUGCAUGCAUUAAAGUGGAACAGCAGCAGCAGCGUGUACAUUAGGGGAAUGCACAAAGCUGAGCGGGUAAAAUAAGCCACUUGGUUUUAAGUAGACCAGGUCAGCCUGUCUGGGACCCUGUUUACUAUUCUCUGUCUCUGGACUCAGCCUUUUAAUUUAAACAUCUCAUGCAGCUUAAAAGCAAACUAAAUUAUUAUUAUCUUUUUAGUCUGGUUAUUUAUUAAUCCUCAAAAAGAAA